rnacentral:lncRNA from 10 species
GUGUAAAGAAGGAUGUGUUUGCUUCUCCUUCCACCAUGAUUGUAAGUUUCCUGAGGCCUCCCCAGCCAUGCUCAACUGCUGUUCUGAUCAUGAUCAAGCCCAAGACAGAGCGAUGGGCGUGGCUUCCCCAAAGGUGUUUAUGAAUCCAAAAUCUGAGAGAGAGAAGACAAGAUGAAGUCACAGGCUAGUCAUUGCCUCAACACCAGUCAUUCCUACUCCCACCCAGACAACAUCAUCUCCACUCCCAAGCCCGAAAUGCUCCCUGCCAUGCCUUCGAGGCUGAGGUCUGGGAAGAAAACUCUAAGAAGAGAGAAAAGGGCACCAGUAUGGAGACCCUAGAAUAUAAAAAGCAGACUUAGCCUGUCUAACCUGUUCCUUGACUUGGCCAUGAUCCCAGGAAUGGAGGAAGGAUCUUCCUUUUCUUCCUCCUCCUGGAGAGGCAUCAGAGCAUGGGCCCUGGCUCUGUUACUCCCUGGCUGGGGAAGUUACUUACCUACUCCGUGUCUCAGUUUUACUUAUCUCUAAAAGGGGUAGAGUAACAGCACUCACUGGAGUGGAGUGUGGUUAUGCCUCCCAGCCUCUCCUUCAGAACUAGGUUACUUAUUCCCUCAGCUGCAAGGAGUGUUAGCUGCGGACUGCUCACAACGGAGUCUCUUCUAGGGAUUGCCCUCAACCGAAGGAAGCUGCAUUGCCCAAGAUGAGAUCCCCUCGCUGGGGCAUCCUGCAUCCAAUGACAAGUCAGUGGGGCGUACGAAGGCCUGGCUUCCUCAUCUCGAUUGGACAUCUCCAAAGGGCCAUCCCAGUUUCUGAUCUCCCCGUAGAAUCUCCUGAAGCCUCUGUUGUGACUGCAUCAGAGCCCAACCUCUCUCUCUACCCAAUCCAGUCUCCUUUCCUUCUCACAGGUGUUGUUCCCAAAACUCAGUAAACUGCCUACACGCAAA